AUUGAACGCUGGCGGUAGGCUUAACACAUGCAAGUCGAACGAGUGGCGGACGGGUGAGUAAUGCUUGGGAAUCCGGCUUAUGGUGGGGGAUAACGUCGGGAAACUGUCGCUAAUCCCGUGUUCCAUAGUAAGACCCCAUGUGGGUUUAGGUAGUUGGUGGGGUAAUGGCCCACCAAGCCGACGAUCUCUAGCUGGUCUGAGAGGAUGACCAGCCAAACCGGGACUGAGACACGGCCCGGACUCCUACGGGAGGCAGCAGUGGGGAAUAUUGCGCAAUGGGGGCAACCUGACGCAGCCAUGCCGCGUGAAUGAAGAAGGCCUUCGGGUUGUAAAGUUCUUUCGGUGACGAGGCGUUAAUGACAGAAGAAGCACCGGCUAACUCCGUGCCAGCCGCCGCGGUAAUUC
rnacentral:rRNA from 1 species